rnacentral:rRNA from 1 species
UACAGAGGUCUCAAGCGUUGUUCGGAUUCAUUGGGCGUAAAGGGCGCGUAGGCGGGCGGCCAGGUCGGGGGUGAAAUCUUUCAGCUCAACUGGAAAAGAGCUUCCGAUACCGGCCGUCUGGAGGGAGGUAGGGGCAUGCGGAACUUCCGGUGGAGCGGUGAAAUGCGUAGAGAUCGGAAGGAACGCCGGUGGCGAAAGCGGCGUGCUGGACCUCUUCUGACGCUGAUGCGCGAAAGCCAGGGGAGCGAACGGG